ensembl:miRNA
AUGGGGUAAAACCAUUAUGCAUAUUGUAUUUUUAGGUCUCAAUACGUGUGGACCCUAAAAAUGCAAUGCAUAAUGGUUUUAUACUCUUUAUCUUCUUAU